GCGGGGGGGCCGUGAUGGCGGAGGGCAGCGCGCUGGAGCGGCCAGGCCUGGACAGGGCGGCGGGAGAGGAAUUCCUGCGGGAGGCCUUCGAGGUGCUGCUGGAUGAGGCUGUCCGCAAGGGCACGGACACGGCCCUCAAGGUGUGCGACUGGAGGGAGCCGCGGGAGCUGCGGGCGCUGCUGGACCUGGAGCUGCGCAGCCACGGGGAGCCCCCCCAGCGCCUGCUGCAGCACUGCCGCGACAUCGCCCGCUACAGCGUUAAGACCGGACACCCCCGCUUCUUCAACCAGCUCUUCUCGGGGCUGGACCACCACGCGCUGGCGGGACGCCUGCUGACCGAGGCCCUCAACACCAGCCAGUACACAUAUGAGAUUGCCCCGGUGUUCGUGCUGAUGGAGGAGGUGGUGCUGGCCAAGCUGCGGGAGCUGGUGGGAUGGGGCAGCGGCGACGGCACCUUCUGCCCCGGAGGCUCCAUCUCCAACAUGUACGCCAUGAACGUCGCCCGCUACCACCGCUUCCCUGAGGGCCGGCAGCGGGGCAGCCGGGCCCUGCCACGCCUGGCGCUCUUCGCCUCACAGGAGAGCCACUACUCCAUCGAGAAGGGGGCCGCCUUCCUGGGCAUCGGCACUGACAACGUCUUUCUGGUGCGCGCGGAUGAGAGGGGGAAGAUGAUCCCUGAGGAGCUGGAGAAGGAGAUUGAGAGGGCGAAAGGCGAGGGCGCCGUGCCGUUCUUCGUCAGUGCCACGUGCGGCACCACUGUCCUGGGUGCCUUCGACCCCCUGGGCAGCGUGGCGGAUGUGUGCCAACGCCACGGCCUCUGGCUCCACGUGGACGCUGCCUGGGGCGGGAGCGCGCUGCUCUCCAGGACGCACCGGCACCUCCUGGCUGGCAUCGAGAGGGCUGACUCAGUGGCCUGGAACCCGCACAAGAUGCUGGCGGUGGGGCUGCAGUGCUCGGCUCUGCUCCUCCGUGACACCACCGGGCUGCUGCAGCGGUGCCACGGGGCAGGCGCCGCGUACCUCUUCCAGCGUGACAAGUUCUACGACGUGGCGUACGACACUGGCGACAAGACGGUGCAGUGCGGCCGCCGCGUCGACUGCCUCAAGCUCUGGCUGCUCUGGAAGGCCGUGGGCACCGAGGGGCUGGAGCGCCGCGUCGACAGGGCCUUCGCCUGCACCAGGUACCUGGCGGAGGAGGUGAGGCGGAGGGACGGCUUCCAGCUGGUGCUCGAGCCCGAAUUCAUCAACCUCUGCUUCUGGUUCGUGCCACCCAGCCUGCGGGGCUGCGAGGGCUGCGAGGAUUUCUGGCUGCGGCUGGGGAAGGUGGCCCCGGCCAUCAAGGAGAGGAUGAUGAAGGAGGGCUCCAUGAUGGUGGGCUACCAGCCCCACGGCGCCAGGGUCAACUUCUUCCGGCAGAUCGUCACCAGCCCCGCCGUCACCAGGGCCGACCUCGACUUCUUCCUGGAUGAGAUCGAGCGGCUGGGGCGUGACCUGUAGGGCCCCACACAACCCCUGUGCUGCCCCCCAAGGGGGACAUUUGGGGACUGAGGGCGGGGGGGCUCCCCCUGCUCGUAGCCCAGUGAAGGCCAGACUGGCCUCCACCGCGCUGCAAGGACAGGUGGAAUAAACCCUGGAAUAAAUCCCAUUUUACCCUGGAACAGACACGUAUUACCAUAGAAUAAACCCGAUUUGUCGUAGAA